rnacentral:rRNA from 1 species
AGACCCGAAACCCGGUGAUCUAGCCAUGGGCAGGUUGAAGGUUGGGUAACACUAACUGGAGGACCGAACCGACUAAUGUUGAAAAAUUAGCGGAUGACCUGUGGCUGGGGGUGAAAGGCCAAUCAAACCGGGAGAUAGCUGGUUCUCCCCGAAAGCUAUUUAGGUAGCGCCUCGUGAACUCAUCUCCGGGGGUAGAGCACUGUUUCGGCUAGGGGGCCAUCCCGGCUUACCAACCCGAUGCAAACUGCGAAUACCGGAGAAUGUUAUCACGGGAGACACACGGCGGGUGCUAACGUCCGUCGUGAAGAGGGAAACAACCCAGACCGCCAGCUAAGGUCCCAAAGUCAUGGUUAAGUGGGAAACGAUGUGGGAAGGCCCAGACAGCCAGGAUGUUGGCUUAGAAGCAGCCAUCAUUUAAAGAAAGCGUAAUAGCUCACUGGUCGAGUCGGCCUGCGCGGAAGAUGUAACGGGGCUAAACCAUGCACCGAAGCUGCGGCAGCGACACUUUAGUGUUGUUGGGUAGGGGAGCGUUCUGUAAGCCGUUGAAGGUGUCCUGUGAGGGGUGCUGGAGGUAUCAGAAGUGCGAAUGCUGACA